AUGAACGCUGGCGGCGUGCCUAAUACAUGCACGUCGCGCGAACAGACGAGGAGCUUGCUCCUCUGACGUUAGCGGCGGACGGGUGAGUAACACGUGGAUAACCUACCUAUAAGACUGGGAUAACUUCGGGAAACCGGAGCUAAUACCGGAUAAUAUAUUGAACCGCAUGGUUCAAUAGUGAAAGACGGUUUUGCUGUCACUUAUAGAUGGAUCCGCGCCGCAUUAGCUAGUUGGUAAGGUAACGGCUUACCAAGGCAACGAUGCGUAGCCGACCUGAGAGGGUGAUCGGCCACACUGGAACUGAGACACGGUCCAGACUCCUACGGGAGGCAGCAGUAGGGAAUCUUCCGCAAUGGGCGAAAGCUUGACGGAGCAACGCCGCGUGAGUGAUGAAGGUCUUCGGAUCGUAAAACUCUGUUAUUAGGGAAGAACAAAUGUGUAAGUAACUAUGCACGUCUUGACGGUACCUAAUCAGAAAGCCACGGCUAACUACGU
rnacentral:rRNA from 1 species